GUAGGUGAACCUGCGGAAGGAUCAUUAUCAUAACGUAUCCACGUAUAAACCAAUUUCUUUAAUGAAUGUGAAUUGUAAUGUAAAAACCUUUAGUAAUUAGUGAUUGCUAUCUCUGAUUUUAUUGAUUAAGAAAUCUUGAUAGACUUGACUCUUCACGGGGUCUAGCAUUAAUUAUUGAAGUGUAAUUUAUUAAUCUACUAUUAACCCAUUGAACCGAUUAACUAUUAUGUAGUUAUUCAUUCUUUUUAUU
rnacentral:misc_RNA from 1 species